rnacentral:rRNA from 1 species
AAUCAACGCUAGAAAACUACGAGCAACAGCUUAAAACUCAAAGAACUUGGCGGUUUUGCACAACUACCUGGAGGAGCUUGCUAUUUAAACCGAUAACCCACGAAAAACCUCACCAACCCUAGCAAAAACAGCCUGUAUACCAUCGUCGUCAGUCUACCUCGCAAGAGAUAAGUACACCAAAAGAGUGUGUAGACCCUCAACAAAACUCCACCCCCAACGUCAGAUCAAGGUGCAGCUAAUGGGUUGGGAAUAAGUGAGCUACAAUAACAACAACAAAAAUAAAAAAGAUAUGAAAUCAGCACUGAAAAAACAGAAAAAAAAGGAUUCAACAGUAAUACUUAAAAGAAAAUAAGUAUGAAAACUA